rnacentral:rRNA from 1 species
GACGAACGCUGGCGGCGUGCCUAAUACAUGCAAGUCGAACGAAGCUGUUUUAACUGGUGCUUGCACCGACUUAAACAACUGAGUGGCGAACGGGUGAGUAACACGUGGGUAACCUGCCCCAAAGCGGGGGAUAACAUUUGGAAACAGAUGCUAAUACCGCAUAACCACAGAAACCACAUGGUUUCUGUGUCAAAGAUGGUUUCGGCUAUCACUUUGGGAUGGACCCGCGGCGUAUUAGCUAGUUGGUAAGGUAAUGGCUUACCAAGGCAAUGUUGCGUAGCCGAACUGAGAGGUUGAUCGGCCACAUUGGGACUGAGACACGGCCCAAACUCCUACGGGAGGCAGCAGUAGGGAAUCUUCCACAAUGGACGAAAGUCUGAUGGAGCAACGCCGCGUGAGUGAAGAAGGUUUUCGGAUCGUAAAACUCUGUUGUCAGAGAAGAACGUGUGCGAGAGUAACUGUUCGUGCAGUGACGGUAUCUGGCCAGAAAGCCACGGCUAACUACGUGCCAGCCGCCGCGGUAA